rnacentral:rRNA from 1 species
GGUUUGAUUCUGUCAGAUUGAACGCUGGCAGGAUGCUUUACAUUUGAAGUCGAACGGCAGCACGGACUUCGGUCUGAUGGCGAUGGCGAACGGGUGAGUAAUGUAUCGGAACACAUUAUAAGUAGCGGGGGAUAACUACGCGAAAGCGUAGCUAAUACCACAUACGCCCUUCGGGGAAAAGCGGGGACUGGGCCUCACGCACUAUUGAAACAGCCGAUAUCGGAUUAGCUAGUUGGUGGGGUAACGGCUCGCAAGGCGACGAUCCGUAGCUGGUUUGAGAGGACGAUAGCCACACUGGGAUUGAGACACGGCCCAGACUCCUGGGAGGCAGCAGUGGGGAAUUUUGGACAAUGGGGGAAACCUGAUCCAGCCAUCCCGACGGCGAUGAAGGCCUUCGGGUUGUAAAGCACUUUUGGCAGGAAAACGGCACGGGAUAAUACCCCGUGCAACUGACAGUACCUGCAGAAUAAGCACCAGCUAACCGUGCCAGCAGCCGCGGUAAUACGUAGGGUGCAAGCGUUAAUCCGAAUUACUGGGCCGUAAGCGUGCGCAGGCGGUUCGGGAAAGAAGAUGUGAAAUCCCAGAGCUUAACUUUGGAACUGCAUUUUUAACUACCGAGCUGAAGUGUGUCAGAGGAGGUGGAAUUCCGUCUUAGCAGUGAAAUGCGUAGAUAUGCGGAGGAACACCGAUGGCGAAGGCAACCUCCUGGGAUAACACUGACGCUCAUGCACAAAACGUGGGGAGCAAGCAGAGUUAGAUACCCUGGUAGUCCACGCGCCCUAAACGAUGUAACUAGCUGUUGGGCCUUCGGGCCUUGGUAGCGCAGCUAACGCGUGAAGUUGACCGCCUGGAAGUACGGUCGCAGAUUAAAACUCAAAGGAAUUGACGGAGACCCGCACAAGCGGUGGAUGAUGCAUGGAUUAAUUGAUGCAACGCGAAAAGCCUACCAUGACAUGUCUGGAAUCCCGAAAGAGAUUUAGGAAUGUUCGCAAAGAGAACCGGAACACGGUGCUGCAUGGCCGUCGUCAGCUCGUGUCGUGAGGAUGUUGGUUGAUCCGCAACGAGCUGUCGCCUUGUCAUUGGAUUGCCGCACGGGCACUCUAAUACGAGACUACCGGUAGCAAGCCGGAGGAGAGUGGGGAUGGCGUCAAGUCCUCAUGGCCCUUAUGGUGGGCACACGUCAUACAAUGGUCGGGACAGAGGGUCGCCAACCCGCGAGGGGAGCCAAUCCCAGAAACCCGAUCGUAGUCCGGAUCGCAGUCUGCAACUCGACUGCGUGAAGUCGGAAUCGCCAUUAAUCCGCGGAUCAGCAUGUCGCGGUGAAUACAUUCCCGGGUCUUGUACACACACCGCCCGUCACACCAUGGGAGUGGGUUUUACCAAGUAGUUAGCCUAACCGUAAGGAGGGCGAUUACCACAGUAGUUGUGACUGGUGAAGUCGUAACAAGGUAG